AGCAGCCGCGGUAAUUCCAGCUCCAAUAGCGUAUAUUAAAGUUGUUGCAGUUAAAAAGCUCGUAGUUGAAUUUUGGGUUCUUCCAAUUGGUCCAUCUUUUAGAUGAGUACUGGUUGUGUGGGGUCUAUCCGCCUGGUGAUACGUAAUGUCCUUUAUUGGAUGUUGCGGGUAGUCAGGACCUUUACCUUGAAAAAAUUAGAGUGUUUAAAGCAGGCUUAUGCCGGAAUACAUUAGCAUGGAAUAAUAGAAUAGGACGAAGUUGUUUUAUUUUGUUGGUUUCUAGGACAACCGUAAUGAUUAAUAGGGAUAGUUGGGGGCAUUAGUAUUCAAUUGUCAGAGGUGAAAUUCUUGGAUUUAUUGAAGACUAACUACUGCGAAAGCAUUUGCCAAGGAUGUUUUCAUUAAUCAAGAACGAAAGUUAGGGGAUCGAAGACGAUCAGAUACCGUCGUAGUCUUAACCAUAAACUAUGCCGACUAGGGAUCGGGCGAUGUUGUUUCCAUGACUCGCUCGGCACCUUAU
rnacentral:rRNA from 1 species